UGGUAACUAACUUUGCUUCAUAAAAUUUGGUCUUGGGAGAGGUUUGUUAUCUGGGUGAAGGGGAAAAGUUAGAAGUUUGAGAGAAGAUGGUGUCCAAGGUCAAGGAUUCGAGACCUAGAAGGCAAGAAUCCAUGAAGAAGAAGCAUGACCAUGAAGUGAAGGGGAAGGACCAAAGGCAAGAGGUGAUGAAGCUGCAAUGCAACAAGGGCAAGGCUUGCAAGUUCAAAAGGAGCUGCUUCAGUGAGGAGGAGGAUGCUGCUUCUUCUGCCAUCCUCCUCUUAGCUUGUAUUGUCUGUGCUUCUUCCUCCAUAUAGCUACAUUUUUUUUUUCUUAUAAAGUUUGUACUUGAUAUCUAUACUAUGAUCUUCACCAUGUAUUGUGUGUAUUUAAUAUAUUCUGGAAUAUAUUCUCUCUCUCUCUCUCUC
rnacentral:lncRNA from 1 species